rnacentral:tRNA from 1 species
AUGGCUCAGUCUGUUAAGCAUCUGACUUUGGCUCAGGUUGUGAUCUCACAGUUCAUGGGUUCAAGUCCCAUU